GCGGGCACAGCUCAGUGGUGGAGCAUGUGCUUAGCAUGCACGAGGUCCUGGGUGCAAUUCCCGGUACCUCCA
rnacentral:tRNA from 1 species